UAUAUUAAGAGUUUGAUCCUGGCUCAGGAUGAACGCUGGCGGCGUGUCUUAGGCAUGCAAGUCGAGUGGUGCCGCAAGGUAACCACGGCAAACGGGUGCGUAACACAUUGGUAACUUACCCCGAAGUGGGGCAUAACCUGUCGAAAGACGGGCUAAUUCCCCAUAGUUUUCCAGAUUGAAAUAUCUAGAAAUAAAGAUUUAUCGCUUCGGGAGAGGCCUAUGGUCCAUCAGCUAGUUGGUAAGGUAAUGGCUUACCAAGGCUACGACGGAUAGCGGGUAUUAGCGUACGACCCGCCUCACCGGGACUGAAAACUGCCCGGACUCCUACGGGAGGCUGCAGUCAAGAAUAUUCCGCAAUGCCCGAAAGGGUGACGGAGCGACGCCGCGUGCAGGAUGAAGGCCUUCGGGUCGUAAACUGCUUUUCUCAGGGAAGAAUCCCGCACCUUUUUGGCUUGGUGUGAUAUAGUAGAUGCAUAUGUACUACAUCUACAUUAUCUAUAAUCUCGGCCUACAAGCGAGUCGGAAAUUUUACAUCGGCCUGACCGAUGACCUCCGAAACUCUUGGAAAGUAUAUACGAAGCCAAAAAGGUGCGGGACUGACGGUACCUGAGGAAUAAGAGGCUGCUAACUCUGUGCCAGCAGCAGCGGUAAGACAGAGGCCUCAAGCGUUAUCCGGUGUUAUUGGGCGUAAAGCGUCCGCAGGUGGCUUAGCGCAUCUUUGGUCAAAUCCCGAAGCUCAACUUCGGAACUGCUAAAGAGAUGGCUAAGCUCGAGGCAGGGAGAGGCAAGCGGAAUAGCUGGUGUAGUAGUAAAAUGCGUUAAUAUCAGCUAGAACACCAAAUGCGAAAGCAGCUUGCUGGAACUGUCCUGACACUAAAGGACGAAAGCGUGGGGAGAGAAUGGGAUUAGAUACCCCAGUAUUCCACGCCGUAAACGAUGGGUACUAGGCAUUGAGAGCUCGACCCUCCCAGUGCCGUUUAACCAAGCUAACGCAUUAAGUACCCCGCCU
rfam:Candidatus Komeilibacteria bacterium RIFCSPLOWO2_02_FTLL_48_11 rifcsplowo2_02_scaffold_3209, whole genome shotgun sequence.